CAGCCGCCGCGGUAAUACGUAGGUGGCAAGCGUUGUCCGGAAUUAUUGGGCGUAAAGCGCGCGCAGGUGGUUUAAUAAGUCUGAUGUGAAAGCCCACGGCUCAACCGUGGAGGGUCAUUGGAAACUGUUAAACUUGAGUGCAGGAGAGAAAAGUGGAAUUCCUAGUGUAGCGGUGAAAUGCGUAGGGAUUAGGAGGAACACCAGUGGCGAAGGCGGCUUUUUGGCCUGUAACUGACACUGAGGCGCGAAAGCGUGGGGAGCAAACAGGAUUAGAUACCCCUGUAGUCCCUGUCUCUUAUAC
rnacentral:rRNA from 1 species